rnacentral:lncRNA from 1 species
UGGCACCCGGUGAAGAGCUCGCCGAGAGUGACCGCCGGCGAGCAUCUCGUGCGGCCGCCCUGCGAGCGGCACGAGCUCCGCGAGUAGCGAUUUGUGGGAGAUACGGUGGCCUCGGGCGACGGCCAGCGUGCGACCCAGGCGACAGCGCAGCUGCCCCGGCGAAGCAGCGGCGGCGACGAGCGCCGCCACUCCCGAUGGAUCCCAUUUCCCCUUUCUCUCUUUUUUUUUUCCCAAAGUUGUGUUUCUAUAUGUUGUUUUCGAAUUCCUGUUCCAAGUUUUGUC